rnacentral:rRNA from 1 species
CCUACGGGUGGCAGCAGUGGGGAAUAUUGCACAAUGGGGGAAACCCUGAUGCAGCGACGCCGCGUGAAGGAAGAAGUAUUUCGGUAUGUAAACUUCUAUCAGCAGGGAAGAAAAUGACGGUACCUGACUAAGAAGCCCCGGCUAACUACGUGCCAGCAGCCGCGGUAAUACGUAGGGGGCAAGCGUUAUCCGGAUUUACUGGGUGUAAAGGGAGCGUAGGCGGGAAGACAAGUCAGAUGUGAAAUCCCGCGGCUCAACCGCGGAACUGCAUUUGAAACUGUUUUUCUUGAGUACCGGAGAGGUCAUCGGAAUUCCUUGUGUAGCGGUGAAAUGCGUAGAUAUAAGGAAGAACACCAGUGGCGAAGGCGGAUGACUGGACGGCAACUGACGGUGAGGCGCGAAAGCGUGGGGAGCAAACAGGAUUAGAUACCCUUGUAGUC